rnacentral:rRNA from 1 species
UACGUAGGGCGCAAGCGUUGUCCGGAAUUAUUGGGCGUAAAGAGCUCGUAGGCGGCUUGUCACGUCGGAUGUGAAAGCCCGGGGCUUAACUCCGGGUCUGCAUUCGAUACGGGCUAGCUAGAGUGUGGUAGGGGAGAUCGGAAUUCCUGGUGUAGCGGUGAAAUGCGCAGAUAUCAGGAGGAACACCGGUGGCGAAGGCGGGUCUCUGGGCCAUUACUGACGCUGAGGAGCGAAAGCGUGGGGAGCGAACAGG